GCGUGAGGCCGAGACGCUGAAAGUCCGGAUUUAAAGUGCAGAAAAUUAAGCCAUUGAAUCUGCCUGUCCAUGACGUACUAAGACACACUAUGAGCCAGUAUGAUCCGACCAGACCUUACAUCAGCAUUGAGGAGUUGUCGGAGAAGAAAGAGGCUGAUUGAAGCGGGACAGAUGACAUGCAUCCAUCCUUCCACAGCCAGGAGCUCACCGA